UCCGUUCUCUCGCUUCGCUUCUACUCUCCCCCGCACCGCAUGCUUGCUCCUUCCUAUCUUGCCCGCUCCACCCGAGUCUGCCACACGCCCACACGUCUACCGGAGUUCCCGCUGUCGUCAGUCCCCACGAAUGAAGCCCAAGCAGGGGUGCAACUGCAACACGGGGUAGCUUCGCGGCGACCUGCGAGGCUGUGACUGUGAGUAACCAGCCUUUCAUUCUUCUCACCCAGCCUGUUCUGUUUUUUGAGUCUCGGUGGUGCGCGCCACCUGUUUCUUUUAGUAGUAGUGCUCAGUUAGUGAUGCUCGUCUGUUCAGAGUUUCAUUGUUCGGGAGCUAGAUCGUUCAGGUCAGCAAGAUUAGACCUUGGAUUGCCCAUUGGCUCUCUCAUACUGCAGAGUAAGACAGUGGAAUGAAUUGGCCGGACAAAAAAACACCAAAUCUUUUAACUCUUUAGUUACACCUGGACGACGAUAAUAGCUGUCACUGCUUGGACAAUGACAAGCCAUCAAUGUCCGCUUGCUCUCGUUUCUAUCCUCUUGUUUCUCGCUCUCUACACCCAUCUCAAACGACACCUCCGGCAACCUCGAGACGUGACAUUGGAGCCUUGGAGCCGACUCUCCCGUCGAAGGCGACCAGGGCACCUUUUGCAGGCCCGACUCUCCCGUCGAAGGUGAAUAUUCACAUUUUUGCAGCAAAGCCUGAACGCCAAUUUGGCCUUCAGACUACCCGCAGCGGCUGCGGCGCGCCCGCCCCCUUCUUCCCUUGCAUGGUGGCUACACGGGCACGCGGCAGCCGGCAGCCCGCCCCCUUCUCCCCUUGUAUGGUGGCUACACGGGCACGCGGCAGCCGGCAGCGUGGACCCCUACGGUGUUCCCACGUGGCAGUCCUCUUCUCUCUGGCUAUAGCGCGCGACCGGUUCCUCCCUUUCCACUGUAGCUGUGGACCCGUCUCUAAUUAUUAAUAGAAGAAAAAUUGAUAGUAGAUAAAAAGUAUGUAUAGAAAAUGAUAUUUUAUAUUGUACUUGGGUAUACCGAGAGUAUUUAGGAGGAACCACUGCGGGAGAUGAAAAAGUAGAGGAUAAACUAUUGAUGAUGUGAUCCAAAGAAGUGAUACAGGAGAAGAAAUUUAGAAAAAACCGUUGUGGGUAGUCUCAAAACCUAAAGCGUAGGGUGUGGAAUAUGAACCAGUUAACCAAGGACGCUUGCCUCAGACCGUUCUAUUGCAUGCAUACUGGAGCCUGGAGGGUGAUUGGUGAACCACCACGGUUGGUCAGUUGGUUGAUCAACCAACACAUUUAGGGUAUGUUUAGUUUGACUUUUGGCUUUGGCUUUUGUCCCCCUAAAAACCAAAAGUCAACCAAAGGGGUGGAUCCAGGAAGCAGCUUUUUCUAAAAGCCAACUUUCUCGUAGUGCAAAUCUGAAAGCACCUCUACACCUGCUUUUAGUGACUUUUCGGAUGGAACUAUGAAAACAUAUAUCGAAGAAUUUUUAACAACUUUUAGUGGUUUCCACCAAACGAUUUUUAACUUUUUAACAGCUUACAGCCUACAACAGCUUUUUUUCACAGCUCACAGCCCACAGUAACUUUUUUCACAACCACAGCCCAACCAAACAGACCCUAAACUAGAGCUAAUGGAAAAGGCGACAGACGAGAAGAGGAGUCUUCUUGGUACCAUCAGCCUACAGAAUGUGCAUAAUCACGAGUGGAGAUUGGCAUGGUUAGUGUUAGAAGGUUAGUAGUAAUUGUUCAAUUCUCUCUACCAGUUUAAGCGUCUCGACAGAACUAGUU
rnacentral:lncRNA from 1 species